rnacentral:rRNA from 1 species
AAACCAGCACCUCAAGUGGUCAGGAUGAUUAUUGGGCCUAAAGCAUCCGUAGCCGGCUCUGUAAGUUUUCGGUUAAAUCUGUACGCUUAACGUACAGGCUGCCGGGAAUACUGCAGAGCUAGGGAGUGGGAGAGGUAGACGGUACUCGGGAGGAAGUGGUAAAAUGCUUUGAUCUCUCGAUGACCACCUGUGGCGAAGGCGGUCUACCAGAACACGUCCGACGGUGUGGGAUGAAAGCUGGGGGAGCAAACCGGAUUAGAUACCCCAGUAGUCC